rnacentral:rRNA from 1 species
CCUACGAGAGGCAGCAGUGGGGAAUAUUGCACAAUGGGGGAAACCCUGAUGCAGCGACGCCGCGUGAGUGAAGCAGUAAUUCGUUACGUAAAGCUCUAUCAGCAGGGAAGAACAUGACGGUACCUGAGUAAGAAGCCCCGGCUAACUACGUGCCAGCAGCCGCGGUAAUACGUAGGGGGCCAGCGUUAUCCGGAUUUACUGGGUGUAAAGGGAGCGUAGACGGUGCGGCAAGUCUGGAGUGAAAUGCCGCCGCUUAAAUGCGGGACUGCUGUGGAAACUGGCGGACGAGAGUGCGGGAGGGGUAAGCGGAAUUCCUAGUGUAGCGGUGAAAUGCGUAGAUAUUAGGAGGAACACCGGUGGCGAAGGCGGCUUACUGGACCGUAACUGACGUUGAGGCUCGAAAGCGUGGGGAGCGAACAGGAUUAGAUACCCGAGUAGUC